rnacentral:rRNA from 1 species
UACAGAGACGGCAAGCGUUGUUCGGAUUCAUUGGGCGUAAAGGGUGCGCAGGCGGCGCGUUAAGUCGGAUGUGAAAUCUCACAGCCUAACUGUGAUAGGUCAUUCGAAACUAGCGUGCUCGAGGACUGGAGAGGAGACUGGAAUGGUCGGUGUAGCGGUGAAAUGCGUAGAGAUCGACCAGAGCACCGGUGGCGAAGGCGAGUCUCUGGACAGUUCCUGACGCUGAGGCACGAAAGCCAGGGGAG